CCAAUCAGGAAAUCGAAUAUGACAACCGCCAAUCAGCAAUCUCUCAUUGUUAAAUAUUGGAAAGUGUGGGUCCCAGAUAGAAAAACAACCAGCCAAUUUCUCCACCCUCCUCCAUACCAAAAGUAAAUAUGAAAUCAUGGGACCAAAUUUCAAACGGCAUUGAUGGGGUGAGAUUUUUGCAUACAAAAUAUUAGUAAAAGAAUAUGGAGCUAUCAUCCGUUCCUCUAAAGUUCGCCAAGAGACUUGAGCAUCAGGGUGAAACCAGGAUAGAAGAGGUCUAAGUGUGAAGGCCCACUCAUAGAACUUAAAAUUUGGGAGAGACAGGCCACCAGCCUGCCUUUCUCGCUGCAUGGUGGUGAGCUUAAUACGAGGUCGUUUGCCAUGCCACAGAAAUUUACUUAUUGCUGAGUGCAAUUUGCCCCAAUAUUUAGGGGGUGGGGGAAGGGGGAGCAUUGAGCUGACAAAAUUGAUUCUGGGCAGAACAUUCAUUUUAAUUAUGGCUACCCUGCCACGGAGCGAAUUUGGAAGGUUAGACCACCUGUCCAGAUCCGCCACCACUUUGUUAAGUGUUUUAGAAAAAUUGUUUUUAAUAAUUGUCUGUAUGGAGGAAUAGAUGUCUAUCCCCAGAUAAGUGAAGUUAUUAGUAACUGGAAUAGAUGCAGGGAUGGGAGUAUUGCACAUUGCCUGAUUUAAGGGUAGUAAAGCUGAUUUCUGCCAGUUAAUUUUGAAGCCAGAGAGCUUGCCAUAAAGAUCGAAGGUAGACAAAAUAUGUGGGAUACAUUGCACUGGGUUAUUUAUAUACAAUAAAAUAUCAUCAGCAUAAAGUGAAACAUGGUGGUGUGUACCUCUAAUGGAAAUUGGAGAGAUUGUGGGAGAACCACGGAUAGCUUGUGCCAGUGGCUCAAGAGAAAGGGCGAAUAACAGAGGGCUAAGAGGACAUCCUUGUCUUGAUCCUCUCAAGACAGCAAAUGGGGAGGAGCUAAUUUUGCCCGUAAGUACUACAGCUGUUGGGUUUUUAUACAGGACCUUAAUCAUAUUAAUAAACGGCAAACCAACCCCCAUAACCUUUAGCACUGCCCACAGAAAUGGCCACUCCAGGCGGUCAAAGGCCUUCAUUGCAUCUAGUGAAAGGACAGCAGCAGGGGAAUUUAAAUCUUGAGCAUCAUGUAUAAUGUGUAAUAGUCUUCUAACAUUAUCUGUAGCAAGUCUAGACUUUAUAAACCCAGUUUGAUCACUAUGUACCAGUUCUGUCAUAUGGCCUUGAAGCCGACGGGCCAGUAAUUUUGCGUAAAUCUUUAAAUCUGCAUUUAAAAGCGAAAGAGGCCUGUAGCUGGCGCAAUCAGCUGGAUCCUUUCCUUUUUUAAGAAGCAGUGAAAUUAAUGCAGAAUUAACAUCCCUAGAAAAUGAUCCCUCUCUAACAGAAUAUAAAAUCAUCUCCAGUAAAAGCGGGCCAAUCUGGGGCCAAAAAGUAAGAUAAAAUUCGGGUGGUAUUCCGUCUGGACCUGGUGAUCUACCUUUACGCAUGUCCCUAGCAGCUGUCUCGCACUCCUGUAAUGUGAUUGGUUGAUCUAAUUUUAUGGCGUCAUCAUUACUGAGAUGAGAUAGUUUAACAUCUUUCAGGAAAUUAUUGCAGACAUCUUUAUCAAAAUUAUUUUCCGAAUUAUAUAACUCCUGAUAGAAGGAGGCAAAAACAGCAUUUACUUUCUUUGGGUCACAUUGUAUAGUGUUAUUUUUGUCUUUAAUGCAAAAGAUAUCAGCAAAGUGCUCAUCCGUCCGAAGUUUCAUUGCCAGUAAGCGACUGGGUUUUGAGGAGUUAAAAUAAUAAGUUUGUCUGGUUUUGUGCAUGAGGAAUUCUGAACGACGCCUCAGAAGAGAGUUAAUCUCUUUUUUGAUCAAUUCCUUUUGUAGGGCUGUGUAAUCAUUAAAAUUAUGUUGCAGGGAAGCAUCAAGGGACGUAUAUUUUAAUUCUAAAGCUUCCAAUUUAGCUGCAUGAGCUUUGUUUUGUGUUGAGGCAUAUAAAGUGGUAUUACUCCUUAUAAAGCCUUUUAUGGCCUCCCAAAGAAUCCUUGGAUCGAGAACAGAGCCAACAUUAAAGUCCAAAAAUUCACUAAAAUUUGUUUCAAACUGAGCUUUGAAAGACUCAUCUCGCAGUAAAGAAGUAUUAAGACGCCAUCUGGGGGCUUUAGUGGAAAAUGGGCGAACCUUGACUGAACAACAUAUGGGUUUGUGAUCAGACCAGGUCACCGGAAUGUAAUGCGCAUUUUGAAUAUUUUGAAAUAAAUCUUUUGAGGCAAAGAUAAAAUCUAGUCUCGAAAAGGAUUUAUGUCUCCCUGAGUAAAAAGAAUAGUCUUUUAAAGAAGGGUUUAACAAACGCCAGAUAUCGACCAUGCCCGUUUCGGAUGCCCAGUGGCGCAACGCCUCAGAUGCAAGAUGUUGGUCUUUAGUCUCGCUGCCGCCUGUUCUGUCCAUGCUGCUGUCCCACACCGCAUUGAAAUCAGCCCCAAGAACUAAGUGAAAUCCUGUAAGAUCAAGCAAGGAUUUAGUUAAUAGAUGGAAAAAGGUACGAUCAAAUACAUUAGGGGCAUAAGCAGAAAUAAGUGCAAUGUUUUUCCCAUCCAUACAGAUCCUUGCUAUAGCUAUCCGCCCUGCAUCAUCUGCCCAAGAGUCAAUCAUAUCAAAUUUUAGUUUACGUUUACACAAUACCAUUACCCCUUUAGAUUUUGUUGCUGCAGAUGAAGUUGCAAUAGAAUGAUAAAACUUAUUGGCUAAUCGACCCACAUCUUUGCCCAAUAAAUGUGAUUCCUGAAUCAUAGCAAAGUCUAUAUUUUUCUUACGAAAAAAUUCUAGUACAGUGGUUCUUUUGUGCGGAACGUUCAGACCCCUGGCGUUGACUGAAAUAAGGUUAAGAGCUGUCAUAUGCUAGAAGGCUUUGUGAAAAACAAAGAAAGAGGAAAAAAAAAAAGAAAGAGUUGUCCCAACAACAGCACGAGAGAGAACCGGAUCCAUAAAAGAGAAACACCCAAAAAAAAGAAAAAAAAAAAAAAAAAAAAAAAAAAAAAAAAAAAAAAAAAAAAAAAAAAAAAAAAACCGAAGAGGAAGGUGAGGAAGCUGAAACUGUCGAACCUUCCUGAAAAUCCACAACUGGAUAACUAACUCAGAGAACUUUCUGACCACUCAAGUGCGGCAGCAGCGCCACCCAUCAGCAAACAACUGAACAGCAGUAGUGUGAACACAUUAAAGACAUCCGCCAUCUAACAGCGGUGCUAUAUCGUUAACAGACACGAAAUCUACAGACCCCCUACCCAACAUAACCUGCACACAUGACUUAUAACUCGGGCAGACAAAGAAGGAGAGAGAGGGGAAAAAAAAAAAAAAAAAAAAAAAAAAAAAAAAAAAAAAAAAAAAAAAAAAAAAAAAAAAAAAAAAAAAAAAAAAUACUUUUCAAAAAAAAAAAAAAAAAAAAAAAAAAAAAAAAAAAAAAAAAAAAAAAAAAAAAAAAAAAAAAAAAAAAUAUAU